UACAGAGGGGGCAAGCGUUGUUCGGAAUUACUGGGCGUAAAGGGCGCGUAGGCGGCCCACUAAGUCGAACGUGAAAUCCCUGGGCUCAACCCAGGAACUGCGUCCGAUACUGGUGGGCUUGAAUCCGGGAGAGGGAUGUGGAAUUCCAGGUGUAGCGGUGAAAUGCGUAGAUAUCUGGAGGAAUACCGGUGGCGAAGGCGGCAUCCUGGACCGACAUUGACGCUGAACGGCGAAAGCUAGGGGAGCAAACGGG
rnacentral:rRNA from 1 species